rnacentral:rRNA from 1 species
GAUGAACGCUGGCGGCGUGCUUAACACAUGCAAGUCGAACGAGAAAUGGAGACGGAAACCUUCGGGCGGAAGGCUUCAUUUCGAGUGGCGGACGGGUGAGUAACGCGUGGGUAACCUGCCUCAUACAGGGGGAUAACAGUUGGAAACGACUGUUAAUACCGCAUAAGACCACAGCACCGCAUGGUGCGGGGGUAAAAACUCCGGUGGUAUGAGAUGGACCCGCGUUCGAUUAGCCAGUUGGCGGGGUAACGGCCCACCAAAGCGACGAUCGAUAGCCGAUCUGAGAGGAUGACCCGCCACAUUGGGACUGAGACACGGCCCAAACUCCUACGGGAGGCAGCAGUGGGGAAUAUUGCACAAUGGGGGAAACCCUGAUGCAGCGACGCCGCGUGAGUGAAGAAGUACUGCGGUAUGUAAAGCUCUAUCAGCAGGGAAGAAAAUGACGGUACCUGAGUAAGAAGCCCCGGCUAACUACGUG